rnacentral:lncRNA from 1 species
AUGCAAAGCAAAGGGGCACUGCAAUGCAAAGCAAUGCAAAGCAAAGGGGCACUGCAAUGCAAAGCAAUGCAAAGCAAAGGUGCACUGCAAUGCAAAGCAAUGCAAAGCAGGGCAAAGCAGGGCAAAGCAUUGCAAAGGUGCACCGCAAUGCAAAGCAAAGUGACAGUGCAACAGGAAAGCAAUGUAAAGCAAAAGGGAACUGCAAUGCAAAGCAAAGGAGCACAGCAAUGCAAAGCAAUGCAAAGCAAUGCAAAGCAAUGCAAAGGAUUGCAAAGGGGCACUGCAAUUGAAAGCAAUGCAAAGCAAUGCAAAGCAAAGGUGCAAUGCAAUGCAAAGCAAUGCAAAGCAAUGCAAAGCAAUGCAAAGCAAUGCAAAGCAAUGCAAAGCAAUGCAAAGCAAAGGGGUACUGCAAAGCAAAGGUGCACUGCAAAGCAAAGGUGCACUGCAAAGCACUGCAAAGCAAUGCAAGCAAUGCAAAGCAAUGCAAAGCAAGGGUGCACUGCAAAGCAAUGCAAAGCAAUGCAAAGCAAUGCAAAGCAAAGGUGCUCUGCAAAGCAAAGCAAAGCAAUGCAAAGCAAUGAAAAGCAAUACAAAGCAAUGCAAAGCAAUGCAAAGCAAUGCAAAGCAAUACAAAGCAAUGCAAAGCAAAGGGGUACUGCAAUGCAAAUUGACAAUGCAAUGCAAAGCAAUGCAAAGCAAUGCAAAGCAAAGGGGUACUGCAAAGCAAUGCAAGGCAAUGCAAGGCAAUGCAAAGCAAUGCAAAGCAAUGUAAAGCAAAGUAAAGUAAUGCAAAGCAAAGGGGUUUUGCAAAGCAAAGGCGUCCUGCAAAGCAAUGCAAGGCAAUGCAAAGCAAAGUGCAACAGGAAAGCAACGCAAAGCAAAAAGGGAACAUCAAUGCAAAGCGAGGCCCAGCACAACAGCAAAGCAGUUGAACCUUUCAACUCCCCAGCAAAAAAAAAAACCCACAAAAACACAAAAAACAAAGAACCCCAUCCAUGCACUUUGCAAACCCACGCUCUGAACUGA